GGAUCCUUUUUGGAGAUGGGAGGCUACCAGGUUCACCAAGGGUCACAGGGCUCCAUGCAAUGGAGAUACUGAGGUGUAUCUGCUGUUUCAAAGGUGAUGUUCCGUGCUCUCGCCUGUGCUAGAGCUUCAUAGAUUUGCAGGCUUAUUUUUAGUUCUGCUAAGGAAGUCAUCUUUACAGGGUCUCCAAUGUAUUGGGCUCCUAUCAAACUAGUGAUGUGGUGAAGAGAAAGGGUGUUUGUGAUCCUCAAAUAGAAAUGAGGAGAAGCAAAAAAUGUGUGUGCAUAGGGAAGGUAUUCACAUGACUUCUUAGGAUGGCAGGCUUUCUAAGGAGUAGGGCAAGAACAAUGAAGAGUGGAGGUGUUUUGCAAUGGCUGUAUAAGGGACUUCUAUUUUAGUUGGGCUGAUGAGCCCUGAAGAGGAGCAGUAGGACCUCGCUCAACCACUCAAGCUCCAGGACAUGGUAUAGAGGCGUGGAGAAGACUGGGAAUGUCAGCAACAAGCUUUAUAUUUUGCUGAUUUUGAAAUACCAAUCAUUCGUGGAGUUUUUUAAAAGGUGGUCCAGCCAGAAAGGGAGAAGUAGGAAGAUCUUUUCUUAGAAAAACAAUACAGCACAGUUGGAGCUGAUUCAGUUCAGUUUGUGUCCAGCUCUGAAGCUGUUUGUGCUGAUAAUUCAGUUUGCUGUACUGAUAUCCACUGGAAAAAGCCCCCCAAAAUGCUCUCAGGAAUAUCAGUUCUGAGAAGAGUUGGACUUUCCCGAAAAUCAGCAGUAGCUGAUACAACUUGAUGAGCUCCAUGAUAGAUAGAAUGGCUGUAUGGGAACUGCUGAAUCACAGCCUGAACCUCUGAUUGAUCACCUGAGGAGAGCAAUGAGUCAGCCCUGAGAGCACAGGUGAAGGCAAUUCACCUGUGCUGCCAGAGGCUUACCUUCCUAGACCCAUUUAAGGGCUGACUGCCAGCAGGGAAAGAUCUCUUCUGGAGAUCUCCUCCUCUGAAGUUUCAUACUGAGCUCAGGAUAUGGAGCACUACGCGCUAAAAUAGUUGUUUAUGAACGCGAUGGAGACCUAGUGGUGUUAAGGAGAAUGCAAGGAAGCAAUCUUUUUCAUCUGUCUGUGAGCAGGAGUUUAAAGCCUGUUGUGGAGGGAAGAAAGAUGAAAUGCACAGAGCGGGGAGCACCUGAUCCCAGUUCUUCAUACACAAAUGCAUUUAUUUGCUCAUCUGGGAAACAGCAGCUUUGUGAGCAGGGAUGAAGGAUGUGGAUGGUGCUGUCCCUGCUGGAUAUCCUGGUCCUUGCAAAGCCCCAGGGGGCAGAGGCAGAUGUUCAGCAGCAAGGUGCUGCCUGCGUCUUUGUCUGCAGAGGCACUCAUUUCAGUCUCUCGCCUUUAAUUUGCCCAGAUGUUGAUUUUAAUUAAGCUCCUCAAGUUUCACGGUCUUUGAGAUCUCUUUCACUCUGUCAAUUUGUGUUGAAGCUGACAGGCAGCGUGAUCACAGACCUGCUUCUUCCUAAAUUCAGGCUAAUGUACGUGAGCAAAUGUGACUAUUUCCAAGCAGGGUUAAUGCAUUCUCCAGGGGUGUGAAAUAUCAGCCAUGUCGCACGUUAUCCAUCUGACCUUGAAUCUGGGAGUGCCAUAUGCUCGCUGAUGCUGGUAGCAAUUUUUUUCCCCUCGUUCACUUCAGUGGGUGUCUGAUCAGGGUCUUAAUCUGUGUGUGCCUGUAAUCCCAAUCAGCAAAUGGGCACUCUUCACUUUAUUUAAAAUACAAGCUUCUCAUGAUUGUCCUUUGUGCAAAUUCCAGGACAAUGUGGGGGUGGAUGCCACUUUCUGGAUCACCUGUUCCCAAUAAUGAAGACAAAGCCUUGCCACCCACCCCUUAAGGAUGCUCCUAUUGGGGGUUUUCUGAGCAUGCCCAUGUCUUAUAAUUGUAGUAGCGUGCCUCCAUGGCCAUGUCUUACAGUUGUAUACCUAGUGUGCCCAAGGCAGAGAGCAUAACCCAGGGAAUAAGUUGGCCUUGUUCAGUGGGACAUACCUCCUCUAGCACUCAAGCAACUAUCUCCAUCUUUGUCUUUUCUGAGCGUGAUCAAUCUUUGCAAGAAUGUUUUAAGAAUAUUCUCUUUAAAUUUCCCAUGGAGAAAAAUAGUUAAUUUUGCUGGAGGAAACCUAGAGAAUAUUAGUGGCUUUAAAAAGUACUGAAAGAAAAGAGAGAGAAUGAUGACAAUACCAAAAAUUCCAAUUAACACUUUUGGAAAAAAAUCUGUUCUCCUCAGAUGUGUUUCUCUGAUCUUUUGACUGAGAUCUGUGUCGUGGGUCUGAAUGCUGGUAUCUCUGCUCUUUCUAUAUACAGUGUGUCCCUGGCCUGGUUAUUUGAAUUCCCUAAGCCAGAAACUACUUCAUUCAUUGCAGAUAUGUCAGCUCUGCUCCAGGCUCUGUAAUAAUAACUCUUUCACUUCAGCUGAUGAGAUCUAGAUAUCAAUCUUGCUGAGGUCACCAAAGGAAAAAAAAAAUGAGCUUGGUCACUUCUCCAUUGAAGAUUCAACAUAAGCCAUUUAUCUUCACCUAGGGGGUCUUGUUUUAUCUGAAUUGCACAAAAAAAAAAAAAAAAAAAAAAAAGCACAUCUGAGAUUUCUCUGAGAUAAAAAAAAAAAAAACCCUCCUUGACACCAUUCAUUUUUGGUACCUACAAUGUCAUAGGGAUGAAGUAGCAAAAAGCGUCUCGCUUUAUUAAUGCCAACCGUGUCUGUUAAAAAGAAGCUAUGAGUCUGACCUGAGCUCUCCUCAAAUGCAAAGAACAAAAUCCCAGUACCCAGAGAUGUUACACAGAGCCUGUAACAGCCUUUUCUCUGGUGCUUGCUAAUACUGAGCGGAGAAAACGGAGUAAAUGAAUUCAAGUCUGUUUAUCCCCAUCUGGUAAGAUGAUGUGUUAUUGGCAGGCCUGGCUGAAUUUGCUUUGUGUGGCACCUUAUACAAGACACCUAAGGCAUAUGUCUUCCAGAUAAAAGCCAAGUCCUCUGAUUAAAGGGUCGAAGCAGAGUGCUGACAGUAGGAAGAUGAAGCAAGCUGUUACUGAGCUCUGCAGAGGGAUGGGAGUGGAGAUUUCAGAGCAAGACAGUGAAAAGCUGAGAAAAGAUGCAUUUCUUCCAGGCAGAGAUACACACACUGCUGAAUGAGACUCAAAAUCCUACCUCCGUUCACCUCCAAAAUACAAACCAGAGAGAAACUCCCACCAGGGCUCAAGUUUGAACAUAGGGAAGCUGUGGGGCAGUGCUGUGCUGCACCCCUGAAGUGGGUCCUAUGAACCAGGUCCACCAGUUGUCUCCACCACCACCUUUCCAUCCUUCCUCACUCCCAUCCUCAGGCAAGCUGUGAGGAAUGCAGGUCAUGAGCACAUGGGAUUUGGGCUGACCCAAGAAAGGCACCAACCAUUGUUAGGUGGCACCAACCAUCAUUAGAUGGCUGCCAAGCUGGACCAGCACAAGUGUUGGGGACCAAGGGCAUCCCUAUCAUUUCUCCUUCUCCAGUCUGUAUCGUCUAUUCCUGCAAGGUUUCGCUAUUAUGUCUCCCCUGGGAACAGCUUUGAGUACCUUCUGGAUGUACAGAGCUGAGCUUUUCCUGGGGGAGCAGUUUCCAUCUCCAUGGGCAGCCCUCAGCCCAUCCCACUAAGAGUGGCUCCAUGCCUGGGGAGCGGCUUUUGGUGCACUGUGUAAGAGGCUGGUGUACAGAAUCCCCAAAGCAAAGAUUAAUUAAUGAGUGUUUGCACAGCACUUCAAAGGUGUGAAGAGCCAUAUAGACGUUGCUAAGUAUCAUUGUUAAUUAUGAUUAGGUGCAAUAUUUUAAUACACCAAUAUUGCGUAGUAAAUAGUGUGAAAAGCAAGAGCUGAAGAUCAGCAGCUGCUGCCAUUUUAUCCUUACAUCUGGAGAUACACUGACCUAGUGGACACAAGGAGGUCUGGGGGUCCAAAGGGUGUGUGUAGUAGGUGUCAGAAGCUAAAAAGUUGUUUAGGUGUUAACCACCCUGGCACAGACUGUUUGUAAGGAGUGGAAAGAAGGCAGAGCAAAAUGGUGUUUUGAAACAGAACAAAACAAUACAGCACAUAGGGGAAUCUAGCAGCUGAAUGAACAUAAUUUCUGCGGCCCAUUUUAAGGAAACCACCACCUCACCAGCCUUCACACCUCACCAACAGCAAUGCUUCUGCCAAAUGCAUGUUUUUCAAUAGCAAGUUUUAUAUUUUUGAGUGCUAAAAAGGGUGACACCAGCCUGAGGACUGUCCCCAAGCAGCCACUUACAGGUUUUCCCUUCUGUCUGGGGAAUGCUUGCUGUUCAUUGCAGGGGAGUUGGUCUAGAUGAUCUUAAAGAGUCCUGUCCAACAGAAACGAUUGUAUGAUUCUAUGUUUCUACAGUUUCCACCCUGGGUGUCCAUGCCAAUGUUCCUUGUGGUUCUCCAGCUGGGAGGACAGGGACAGACUUGGGAGGUCAGCACUCAGCUACCUGGGCUUGGGUUUGUCUGCAAACUUUAGGGUUUGUGCAUCCACCCAUCAAUCACCUCAAAACGGGGAAUGCUGCUCACCACCUUCACCUCCCCUCCACCUCCAUCUGCCUCAGUGCUCAGCAAAGGAGCUGUAAAUCCAAGGAUUAAGUUCUUGAGCCAACACAUCUGACAGACUUGCGGUGUUAGGCAAAACCCUGCUAA